AAACCAGCACCUCAAGUGGUCAGGAGGAUUAUUGGGCCUAAAGCAUCCGUAGCCUGUUCUAUAAGUUUCCGGUUAAAUCCAUUAGCUCAACUAAUGGGCCGCCGAAAAUACUGUAGAACUAGGGAGUGGGAGAGGUAGACGGUAUUCGGUAGGAAGGGGUAAAAUCCUUUGAUCUAUUGAGGACCACCUGUGGCGAAGGCGGUCUACCAGAACACGUUCGACGGUGAGGGAUGAAAGCUGGGGGAGCAAACCGGAUUAGAAACCCUAGUAGUCC
rnacentral:rRNA from 1 species